rnacentral:rRNA from 1 species
AGCUCCAAUAGCGUAUAUUAAAGUUGUUGCAGUUAAAAAGCUCGUAGUUGGCUCUCGGGCCGGGGCUUGCGGUCCGCCUCGGCGCGGUCACUGCUCGCCUCCCCGGCCUACUCGAACGCUGUCGCGUCGUCCCUUGAUGCUCUUAGCUGAGCGUCUCGGGUGGCCGGCGAGUUUACUUUGAAAAAAUUAGAGUGUUCAAGGCAGGCUUCAAACACGGCCUGAAUAACGGUGCAUGGAAUAAUGGAAUAGGACCUCGGUUCCUGUUUUCGUUGGUCUCCGGAACUCCCGAGGUAAUGAUUAAGAGGGACAGACGGGGGCAUUCGUAUCGCGGCGUUAGAGGUGAAAUUCUUGGAUCGCCGCGAGACGAACUACUGCGAAAGCAUUUGCCAAGAAUGUUUUC